rnacentral:rRNA from 1 species
AGUGAACGCUGGCGGUAGGCCUAACACAUGCAAGUCGAACGGCAGCACAGUAAGAGCCUGCUCUUACGGGUGGCGAGUGGCGGACGGGUGAGGAAUACAUCGGAAUCUACUUUUUCGUGGGGGAUAACGUAGGGAAACUUACGCUAAUACCGCAUACGACCUACGGGUGAAAGCAGGGGAUCUUCGGACCUUGCGCGAUUGAAUGAGCCGAUGUCGGAUUAGCUAGUUGGCGGGGUAAAGGCCCACCAAGGCGACGAUCCGUAGCUGGUCUGAGAGGAUGAUCAGCCACACUGGAACUGAGACACGGUCCAGACUCCUACGGGAGGCAGCAGUGGGGAAUAUUGGACAAUGGGCACAAGCCUGAUCCAGCCAUACCGCGUGGGUGAAGAAGGCCUUCGGGUUGUAAAGCCCUUUUGUUGGGAAAGAAAAGCAGCAGGUUAAUACCCCGCUGCUCUGACGGUACCCAAAGAAUAAGCACCGGCUAACUUCGUG